rnacentral:SRP_RNA from 1 species
GCCAGGUGUGGUGGUGGGCACCAGUAAUCCUAGCUACUUGGGAGGCUGAGGCAGGAGAAUUGCUUGAACCCAGGAGGUGGGGGUUACAGUGAGCCGAGAUUGCACCACUGCACUCCAGCCUGGGUGACAAAGCAAGACCUUGUCUCAA